rnacentral:misc_RNA from 1 species
UCCACCAGCUUCAAAAGCUGCAAUUGAGUCAUUGCCAACAAUUGAGAUAAUUCAUUCUCAUAUUGUUGCUGAAUCUUGUUGUGCAGUUUGUAAAGAGGCAUUUGAGUUGGGCACUGAGGCCCGCGAAAUGCCCUGUAAACAUUUAUACCAUUCAGAUUGCAUACUCCCAUGGCUUUCGUUGCGCAAUUCGUGUCCAGUCUGUAGGCAUGAAUUGCCCUCGGAGAGUCGGGAUGUUGUCGAUCCGAAUAGAGCACCAAGCGAACAGAGUGAGCAGAGUGUAGCAACAAAUAAUGAGGUGGAAGAAGCUGUUGGAUUGACAAUAUGGAGAUUACCUGGUGGUGGAUUUGCUGUUGGGAGGUUAGGUAGGAGAGGUGGGGAGAGAGCUCUUCCUGUUGUAUUCACUGAAAUGGAUGGUGGUUUCAAUAAUAACAACAAUAAUGGAGUUCCAAGGAGGAUUUCAUGGGGUUCUAGAGGAAGCGAAUCGCGACAAAGUGGUGGCUUUAGGAGGUUUUUUGGCAACUUGUUUUCGUGUUUCGGUGGUAUUGGUUCAUCAGGGUCAAGCUCUAGUUCAG